GGGUUUAAGCAGCUGAAGCAAGAUGGGUCAAAGUCAGAGUGGUGGUUAUGACCCUGGAGGUGGCAAGAAGGAUGCCAAGGACAAGAAAAAGAUGAACCUGUUGUACCAACCAGAGUGGGGAAAAGGAAAGAAAAAAACAAAGGGAAAAGAUAUUGCCAGUAAGCUGCCACUGGUGACACCUCACAGUCAAUGCUGGUUAAAAUUAUUGAAGUUAGAAUUAAAGACUAUCUAUGGAGGAAGAAUUCAUUAGGAAUCAGGAACAAAUGAAACCUUUAGAAGAAAAGCAAAGGAGGAAAGAUCAAAGGCAAAUGAUCUGAGGGGGACCCUGAUGUCAGUAGGAACCUUGGAAGAGAUCACUGAUGAAAAUCAUGUCAUCCUGUUUAUAUCUGUGGACUCAGAACACUAUGUCAGCAUUCUUUCCUUCUAGACAGAAAUCUGCCAGAACCAGGCUGCUCUGUCCUGCUCAACCACAAGAUGCAUGCUGUCAUAGGGGUACUCAUGGAUAACACAGAUUCCUUGGUCAAAGUGAUGAGGGUAGAAAAGCAACCCCCCCCCCGGCCCGGAAACUAUGCUGAUACUGGGGGGGUUGGACAACCAAAUACAGGAAUUUAAGGAAGCUGUGGAGCUUCCUCUCACUUAUCCUGAAUAUUAUGAAGAGAUGGGUAUAAAGCCCGCAAAGGGGAUCAUUCUCUAUGGUCCACCUGGCACAGGUAAAACCUUAUUAGCCAAAGAGGUAGCAGGCCAAACCUCAGCCAAUUUCUUGAGAGUGGUUGGCUUUGAACUUAUUCAGAAGUACCUAGGUGAUGAGCCUAAACUUGUUCAAGAAUUGUUUUGAGUUGGAGAGAAAAGAUGGUGGAGGAUUGCUGAAGAACAUGCACCAUCCAUCAUGUUUUGAUAAAAUUGAUGCCACUGGAGCAAAAAGAUAUGACUCAAAGUCUGGUGAUGAGAGAGAAAUUCAGUGAACAAUAUUGGAUGUGUUGAACCAGUUGAAUGGAUUUGAUUCAAGGAGUGAUGUGAAAGUUAUCAUGGCCACAAAUUGAAUACAAACUUUGGAUCCAGCACUUAUCAGAGCAGGCCGCAUUUACAGAAGAUCCAUUUCCCCCUGAUGAAAAGACUAAGAAGCACUUCUUUCAGAUCCACAUAAGCAGGAUAAUGCUGACCAAUUAUGUAACCUUGCACGACUUGAUCACGGCUAAAGAUGACUUCUCUGAUACUGACAUCAAGACAAUCAGUACAGAAGUUGGUCUGAUGGCCUUGAGAGAACACAGAAUAAAAGUAACAAAUGAAAACCAAAAAAUCUAAAGAAAAUGUUCUUUAUCAAAACCAAGAAGGCACCCUGGUGGGCUCUAUUUCUAGCUGA